rnacentral:rRNA from 1 species
UGAAAAAUAAAUUAAAGUGAGGUGAAAAGUUGGUUGUUUGAUUAUGGCUAAAUAUUUAGCUUUUUGAAGUGGUCUAUUUGAAACUGGAGGGGUAGAAAUAAGUUUAUUUAGUCGUUGAUAUUUAAUUUGGUGUUAGAAUUAUGGGGGCUAAGGGUUUAUAGGUUAAUGUUGUGCCAGCAGCUGCGGUUAUACAACUUAUAGGGUUAAAUUUAGAGGUAAAAGUAAUUAGUAAAGAGUAAAAAUUAGUUGAUUAUUUUAAAUUUUUUUGAUAAAAUGGAAAUUUUUGUGUAGAGUAAUUUAUAAGAUAUUUAUAAAAUUCUAUGAGUGUUAGAAUAAAUUAGGAUUAGAUACCCUAUUAUUUAAUUGGAGAUGUUUACCGUAGGAUAAAGAUAGAAAUUAAAAUGAUUUGGCGGUGUGCUGGCUGAAUAGAGGAAUUUGAGCAGGAGUCGACAGCCCACGAGUAGCUUAUCUGGUUUAAAUUUGUAUAUCUCCGUCGUAAGUGGAUUUAAAUAAAAUAUUUUCUUAUAUUUAUAAUAAAUGAGAUUAUGACAGGUCAAGGUGCAGUGAAUGGUCAGGUUGUUUUGGAUUACAAUUUUUUGGUGAAAUUUAACGAAUAAAACUGGGUUUGGAAAAAUUUUUUGAAGGUGGAUUUAUUAGUAAUUUAGUUUUAGCUUGGUGGGGUGAAAAAGGCAUAGCAUGUGUACAUAUCGCCCGUCGUUCUCUGAUUUGGAGACAAGUCGUAACAUAGUUGGUUUAUUGGAAAAUGAGUCUUAAUGAAGU